rnacentral:rRNA from 1 species
UACGAAGGGUGCAAGCGUUACUCGGAAUUACUGGGCGUAAAGCGUGCGUAGGUGGUUCGUUAAGUCUGAUGUGAAAGCCCUGGGCUCAACCUGGGAAUGGCAUUGGAUACUGGCGAUCUAGAGUGCGGUAGAGGGCAGUGGAAUUCCCGGUGUAGCAGUGAAAUGCGUAGAGAUCGGGAGGAACACCAGUGGCGAAGGCGACUACCUGGCCUGUUCUUGACGCUGAGGCGCGAAAGCUAGGGGAGCAAACGGG